rnacentral:rRNA from 1 species
GUACACGCUGUGACUAGCAUAUCAAUAAGCGGAGGAAAAGAAACUAACAAGGAUUCCCCUAGUAACGGCGAGUGAAGCGGGAAGAGCUCAAAUUUGAAAUCUUAAAGGGUUUCCCUUUACGAAUUGUAGUUUAAAGAAGUGUUUUCUGUUGAGGUUUUGGUAAAAGUUCUUUGGAAUAGGACAUCAUAGAGGGUGAGAAUCCCGUAUUUGACCUUUACUUUCAACUUUGUGAUACACUUUCAAAGAGUCGGAUUGUUUGGGAAUGCAGUCCAAAAUGGGUGGUAAAUUUCAUCUAAAGCUAAAUAUUGGCGAGAGACCGAUAGCGAACAAGUACCGUGAGGGAAAGAUGAAAAGAACUUUGAAAAGAGAGUUAAACAGGUACGUGAAAUUGUCAAAAGGGAAGCGUUUGACACCAGUGUUGUUUUUCUGAAAAUCAAUUAAAGAACUGUUUAUGCUAAGUUGUUCAGACUUUAUCAGCUAUCUGUUUAGUUUUGAGCUUUUCUUUAAUGCACUUUUCAGUUAACAAGUCAACAUCAAUUUCUUUUGCUGUAAAAAAGCUUGAGGAAGGUGGCUUGAGAUUCGUCUUAAGUGUUUAUAGCCUCUUGCCUAUGCAGUCGGAGAGAUUGAGGUCUGCAGCGUAGAUCCUUCGGGGCUAAAUGCAUUUGUGCUAAGUUAUAGCAUUUUAUAGACAACUUGUUGACUAUGAUUUGUCUUGUAGCUUACUCGCUUAUGUUAUUUUACCUACGCUUAGGAUGUUGACGCGCGUGUGUGCGUG